rnacentral:rRNA from 1 species
GUCCACGCCGUAAACGAUGGGUGCUAGGUGUGGGGGGUGUCGACUCCCUCCGUGCCGAAGCUAACGCAUUAAGCACCCCGCCUGGGGAGUACGGCCGCAAGGCUAAAACUCAAAGGAAUUGACGGGGGCCCGCACAAGCAGCGGAGCAUGUGGUUUAAUUCGACGCAACGCGAAGAACCUUACCAAGGCUUGACAUGCACUUGUAAGACGUGGAAACACGUUCCCUCUUCGGAGCAAGUGCACAGGUGGUGCAUGGCUGUCGU